UGGGGAAUAUUGCACAAUGGGCGGAAGCCUGAUGCAGCGACGCCGCGUGAGGGAUGACGGCCUUCGGGUUGUAAACCUCUUUCAGCAGGGACGAAGCGCAAGUGACGGUACCUGCAGAAGAAGCGCCGGCCAACUACGUGCCAGCAGCCGCGGUAAGACGUAGGGCGCGAGCGUUGUCCGGAUUUAUUGGGCGUAAAGAGCUCGUAGGCGGCUUGUCGCGUCGAAUGUGAAAUCUCAGGGCUCAACUCUGACAUUGCAUUCGAUACGGGCAGGCUAGAGUUCGGUAGGGGAGACUGGAAUUCCUGGUGUAGCGGUGAAAUGCGCAGAUAUCAGGAGGAACACCGGUGGCGAAGGCGGGUCUCUGGGCCGAUACUGACGCUGAGGAGCGAAAGCGUGGGGAGCGAACAGG
rnacentral:rRNA from 1 species